rnacentral:rRNA from 1 species
AUGUUUGAAGCUUUGGUUGUAGCUCUGUUGUUCUCUGUUCUUAACUAUGGAAUCAACAGAGCCACAGCAAGUGGUGAUGGAGAUUUCUUCCAUAACUGCGCACCAUCCAGGUGCAGCGAAGAAGGCACAAUAGAGAUCCGAUUUCCAUUCCGCCCAGCAACCAGGAUUUGUCAAAUUUGCCAGCAACCAGCCCCCCAUCCUGUGGAGCACCUGGCUUGGAGCUAG